UAGGGUUCAACUCCUUUUCAUACACAAAGAUGAUGAUGACGAUUAUCGAAAUCAUUCAUCUUCUUUUAUCCUAAAUCAAGGUUGAAUGAUUUGUUGAUUUCAGAGAUCUCAAAUCCCAAAUCAAGACGAUCAAUUUAUUAGGUUAGGGUUCUUCAUUUCAUCUUCGAUUGAUGGUUGUUCAGCUGCAGGAACACCCAGCUUCUCUUGAUUCCGUUUUAGAACUGCUUCUGCAACUUCAUGAGAGACAACUUUUAAGGGGUUACAACUGAAGGCUCCAUCUAUGUACUCUGUGAGAAAUGCUUGAAAGACACUGGUUUCUGAGACUCAAGGAACCAAGGGACGGGGUUAGUGAGUCCCAGUUUAACCAUUUUAGGAACAUUGAGCUAGACUAAACCAUAAAGGUGAGCUUUUGAUUGUUGACAUUGCCUGAGUAGUCAUUUGGUAGACCAAAAUAUUAGCAUUAAGUUCUCUCUGUUGCUGUAGGCUUGCGAAUUUCUCAAUAAGGAUGCCCGCUACAAGCCUCCUGAGUUGAAAUUAUAGCCAAAGUUUAUAGUGAUUACUGCACAGGAAAAUCAUCACAUCAAGUUCUUUUUAGAAUGAAUCUCCUAAUAAUGUUCCACCUGUUUAGGGUAACAUAUGAUGAAUCUUUUCUUGACCAUGGGGUCUUACGCCCUUCUAUAUAAUGCAUGAUUAACUUGUUAUAAUUACUAUACUACUAAUACUACUAACUUAGCUUUAUUGCGCCAGUGAUUGUUGAGGGAAUAGUGUUGGUGUUGUAGCUAUGGGCUCGUGAACUACAGAGUUCGAAGAAACUGAGAUUGUGUUUCCUUCUAAUUGCAACAUAAUACUUCCAACAGUCUCCAGUACGAGAUUCUUGAACUCUUCUUCUGGCACAAUUUUCUCAUCAUUUGCACAGACCAUCUUGACCACCUCAUUCACUAUGUGAUAGCAUACAUCAAUUUUGCAUAAGACUGUCAGGAAUGAAUACAGCUAGUAAUUGUUAUGAAGAUUUAUUGAACCUUAGAUGCAGUUUUCCAAUACUGGGAUGAGGUUUGUUAUUUACCUGAUUGACGGCUCCAUAAGGAGGCAAACUAGCUGAUGGGGCCAGUGAAUCCGGAGCUACACGCAGGUACUCCUUGGACAGUUCCCCACUGCGAUUUCUUGGUAAGUAUUUUAGUGCCACAUUCAAUGUUUGCAAGAAGUCUCAAAACACUAACAUUAUCUUACCGAAUUAAUUCAAAAAAUUUAAUGAGAACAAAGUUGAAACAGGAUUCGCAACCUUUUCUAGUUCAAAUUUGUUGGAUAAUAUUCUCUUGAUGCCACUUCCAUCAAAUGUAUGUUCACUGUGAGCGAGAUUAACUUGUUGCUCCUUUAGAUGCUGAACCACUCUUUUUAUCACCUUCUUGAAUUCUUCUAAGAAGGCCUCUUGAGAUACAAAGUUUCCUUGUUAAGUUUUGUACGAGCUUGCAAUGCGGGUUUGACAGCGUUACUCUUUUUAUAGUGCAGGGAACAACGAGGCCUACUCAUUGUCAUGUUCUGUGGGACGAAAUUGGGUUUUUAGCCGAUAAAUUGCAGGAGCUAGUGCACUCACUAUCUUAUAUACCAAAGAAGCACUACAGCGAUAUAUGCUGGGUAUGAUUGGCUAUAAAAGGGGUUGGAAACAAUCAGCAGAAAACAUCGUUGGUCCAAGAUAAUCCUGCACUCUACCUGCACUAUAAAAGUUCAGAGAGGAGCUUUUUAGAUCCUCUCCAACCUUCCAUUCACCCCGGCUCGAGAAUCACCACCAUCAGUACUUCAUUCACAUCAUCUACACCUCUCGGACAUAGGAGAAUUGCCUCUCACCUGUUUGUGAAAACAUUCAACAGCUCAUCUCUAAAACUCACCACCAGUUUCCUUCACAAUUGAAUUCAUCCCGUCACCACUAUACAUUCCACCUCCACAGACCACCAGCACCUCCAUCAAUCUAUCACCAGUUCCUUCACCCAUUAAACUGUUUUAAUUGUAGUUAUGGUUUUUCUUAAGCAACUUGUUUGGUGUUUGACUACGUAUUUUCUGUAAAUUUUUUGUCAUUAGGCUUAUAGUAUGCAUAUGAAGGCUGGGUAACUUAAAUCUGGUAAAGAACAAGGCUACAUUGAAGGUAAACUUUGUUAAAACCUAUGUGUGAGGAACUCUGCCUAGAAUAUGGUACUGCUAAGCAACUAUAUUUGGUUCCCUUCAUGAUUACAAUAUUUGAGGAGGUCUUCCCAAAAGCGGAGCUCCGAGCACUUUGCUUGCAAACACUAGAUACACUCCGCAUCCAAUUGAAUACAUACCAAAGGAAUAAAGGGACUGCCAUAGUGAGAGCUUGGCAUGUACAAAUUCAGGUCUUGACUCAUAAUUGGAGACCUUGGUUAAAAGUGGGGAUUGAAUUUUAAAUUGUUAUAGCAUGUAUUUGAAAUGUAGGAGAUGUUUCUAUACUUGCAUUUGUUUUGAUAGUUCACACUUAAAUGUCAUUUCUUUUGAUAGUUCACACUUAAUGUCUCUAGUAACUUUAACAUAGA